rnacentral:lncRNA from 1 species
AGUAUUUACGAAGUAGCCAUAAAAUCUGAAUACAAGCUCUGUAACUUAAGAUUCUGAUUAUUUAAAAUGAAAAUCCAUACUUAUAAUGGCCAUCAUUGGUGCUUUUCAGCAUGACAACCAGUCAUCAGGAUGGAAACAUGCUGUAUAAGACUUGGAAUUAAAUACAAAUAUUCCUAUUGAAUAUUUGUAUUUAAUUCCAGGUCUCAUAGCUCCAUUACAUUAGGACAUUACUCCAUUAUUACAUUAGGAAUGAUGGCCUGUGGGAUCAUUCCUAACUACUUUGUAUUCAAUAUUAAGAAAGCAGCAUAUAAUAUAAAAGAAAAAUAGUAGCCAUGCUGAUCUUCAAUUCUUUUUAUAAAAAAAAUGAUUAUUUAACUGUUGCUUUAGAUGAGAAAAUAAUCUUUCAGAUUUUCUUUCAAAACAUUUUUUCUUGUAACACUAAAUGUGACUUUCCAAAUCAACUGAAGAUAUGUGAAGAGGAGGGUUUUGAGACCACUUUUUUAACCGUAGAACUGCCGCAAAAAAUUACGUCUACUGCGCAGCAAUUAAC